GAAUGUCACCUAUGAGAAAAUCUCAGAAACCUCUUAUGCUGUGGUCUUUACAUUUAAUUUGGUUAACAUCAGCAUGCCAGAGGACCCUGAGCGCAGAAACAAUACAUACCUGCAAGUGGAGGAUGUCGUCAAUAAUGCGCUGAACACUCUUCUGAAUGA